rnacentral:rRNA from 1 species
GAGUUUGAUCAUGGCUCAGAUUGAACGCUGGCGGCAUGCCUUACACAUGCAAGUCGAACGGCAGCAUGAUCUAGCUUGCUAGAUUGAUGGCGAGUGGCGAACGGGUGAGUAGUACAUCGGAACGUGCCCUGUAGUGGGGGAUAACUAGUCGAAAGAUUAGCUAAUACCGCAUACGACCUGAGGGUGAAAGUGGGGGACCGCAAGGCCUCAUGCUAUAGGAGCGGCCGAUGUCUGAUUAGCUAGUUGGUGGGGUAAAGGCCCACCAAGGCGACGAUCAGUAGCUGGUCUGAGAGGACGAUCAGCCACACUGGGACUGAGACACGGCCCAGACUCCUACGGGAGGCAGCAGUGGGGAAUUUUGGACAAUGGGCGAAAGCCUGAUCCAGCAAUGCCGCGUGUGUGAAGAAGGCCUUUGGGUUGUAAAGCACUUUGUCCGGAAGAAAUGGCUCUGGUUAAUACCUGGGGUCGAUGACGGUACCGGAAGAAUAAGGACCGGCUAACUACGU